rnacentral:rRNA from 1 species
UACGGGAGGUGCGAGCGUUGUCCGGAAUCACUGGGCGUAAAGGGCGCGUAGGCGGCCUGAUAAGUAGGGGGUGAAAUCCUGCGGCUUAACCGCAGGGCUGCCUUCUAAACUGUCAGGCUGGAGCACAGUAGAGGCAGGUGGAAUUCCCGGUGUAGCGGUGGAAUGCGUAGAGAUCGGGAAGAACAUCAGUGGCGAAGGCGGCCUGCUGGGCUGUUGCUGACGCUGAGGAGCGAAAGUGUGGGGAGCGAACAGG